CAGCCGCCGCGGUAAAACCAGCACCUCAAGUGGUCAAGAUGAUUAUUGGGCCUAAAGCAUCCGUAGCCGGCUCUGUAAGUUUUCGGUUAAAUCUGUACGCUUAACGUACAGGCUGCCGGGAAUACUGCAGAGCUAGGGAGUGGGAGAGGUAGACGGUACUCGGUAGGAAGGGGUAAAAUCCUUUGAUCUAUUGAUGACCACCUGUGGCGAAGGCGGUCUACCAGAACACGUCCGACGGUGAGGGAUGAAAGCUGGGGGAGCAAACCGGAUUAGAUACCCGGGUAGUCCCAGCUGUAAACUAUGCAAACUCAGUGAUGCAUUGGCUUGUGGCUAAUGCAGUGCUGCAGGGAAGCCGUUAAGUUUGCCGCCUGGGAAGUACGUACGCAAGUAUGAAACUUAAAGGAAUUGGCGGGGGAGCAC
rnacentral:rRNA from 2 species